AAGGACUCCUGGACGUCAAUUUUCUGCAACACCUGGAACCAGACGGACAGAGAGAACUUGACUUGUUCAGGUCCUCGGUGACUGUGCAACCAGGUGCCUGCUGAUGCUUACUGAAUGAACAAACGAUGCAGGAAGGCAACUAACACACACAGUGCUCCUGCUGAGCUCAGCCAGCCCUCACUGCCCGGAUGUACGUAUUUGCCACGUUUUAUAGGGAACAAAUUGCAACCACCACCUGCUAUCACCCACCCACCUUUGCUGACACCUGUAAAGUUGCCAACCCG